rnacentral:sRNA from 1 species
UGAUGUACACCUAAUACCGCCACUACCUG